AGUGAACGCUGGCGGUAGGCCUAACACAUGCAAGUCGAACGGCAGCACAGUAAGAGCUUGCUCUUACGGGUGGCGAGUGGCGGACGGGUGAGGAAUACAUCGGAAUCUACUUUUUCGUGGGGGAUAACGUAGGGAAACUUACGCUAAUACCGCAUACGACCUACGGGUGAAAGCAGUGGAUCUUCGGACCUUGCGCGAUUGAAUGAGCCGAUGUCGGAGUAGCUAGUUGGCGGGGUAAAGGCCCACCAAGGCGACGAUCCGUAGCUGGUCUGAGAGGAUGAUCAGCCACACUGGAACUGAGACACGGACCAGACUCCUACGGGAGGCAGCAGUGGGGAAUAUUGGACAAUGGGCGCAAGCCUGAUCCAGCCAUACCGCGUGGGUGAAGAAGGCCUUCGGGUUGUAAAGCCCUUUUGUUGGGAAAGAAAAGCAGCAGGUUAAUACCCCGCUGUUCUGACGGUACCCAAAGAAUAAGCACCGGCUAACUUCGUG
rnacentral:rRNA from 1 species